CUAUGACAUAUUCUUUUCCUACAAAAUUAUGUUUGAAUUGGGCAGUGAAGAUUGGAUAAACUUCUAUUUUUUUUCUUCUUAUUUCUUCUUUUCUGCAAUCCUCUAUUACUUAGAAUUCUUCUUCCUUUAAUGAAGACCUAGAUUAAAACCAGAAAACUUAAGGGUGACUUGCGGCAAGGAGAAUACUUUUUGGGUUUUAUGUGUUCUUGCAGUAGGGAUCUCUCUUUUCUUUGCUUCUUCAU
rnacentral:lncRNA from 1 species